UACAGAGGGUGCGAGCGUUAAUCGGAAUUACUGGGCGUAAAGCGCGCGUAGGCGGCUUUGCAAGUCGGGUGUGAAAUCCCCAGGCUUAACCUGGGAACUGCAUUCGAGACUGCAUUGCUAGAGUAUGGGAGAGGGAAGUGGAAUUUCCGGUGUAGCGGUGAAAUGCAUAGAUAUCGGAAGGAACAUCAGUGGCGAAAGCGACUUCCUGGACCAAUACUGACGCUGAGGCGCGAAAGCUAGGGGAGCAAACAGG
rnacentral:rRNA from 1 species